rnacentral:lncRNA from 1 species
UUUUCUUUGAUACCGAGGUGGCUUUUUUUCUUUUGCUGUUUGCAGUAACUUGCUAUUGCUGCUGCUACUGCUCCGUGCGUGGGUCUGGCCUAUGAGCUGUAACACUCACCCUGAAAGUGUGUAGUUUCGCUCUUGAAGCCAGUGAGGCCGGAAACCAACUGGGAAGAAGGAACAACUCCAGAUGUGCUGCUUUAAAGAGUUGUAAUGCUCACCGUGAAGGUCUGUAGUUUCAUUCCUGAGCCAGCAAGACCACGAACCCACCAGAAGGAAGAAACUCCGAAUGCAUCUGAAGGUCAGAAGGAACAAGCUCUGGAUACGCCGCCUUUAAGAACCCUGAGAUUCACCACGAGAGUCUGCGGCUUCGUUCUUGAAGUUAGUGAGACCAAAAACCCACCAAUUCUGGACACAUUGGGAUUAAAGGUGGCACCAUUGUUGAGGAAAAUAGCCCAGACUACAUAGAUUCUUGGCUGUCUGUAGGCAUGGCCGUCAGCAGCAAGACUGCUCACAGCUUGCAGAUGCCAGCAAGUUACCUAACCUGAAAGAACUUCUCCAGUCCUCCGGAGACAACCACAAACGGGCCUGGGACCUGGUGAGCUGGAUUUUAUCCUCAAAGGUCCUGACAAUCCACAGUGCAGGGAAGGCAGAGUUUGAAAAGAUCCAAAAGCUGACUGGGGCUCCUCACACGCCUGUUCCUGCACCGGACUUCCUGUUUGAAAUUGAGUACUUUGACCCAGCCAACGCCAAAUUUUAUGAGACCAAAGGAGAACGAGACCUAAUCUAUGCAUUUCAUGGUAGCCGCCUAGAAAACUUCCAUUCCAUUAUCCACAAUGGCCUGCAC